GACGAACGCUGGCGGCGUGCUUAACACAUGCAAGUCGAACGGAAAGGCCCUGCUUUUGUGGGGUGCUCGAGUGGCGAACGGGGGAGUAACACGUGAGUAACCUGCCCUUGACUUUGGGAUAACUUCAGGAAACUGGGGCUCAUACCGGAUAUGAGCUCCUUCUGCAUGGGGUUGGUUGGAAAGUGUCGGCGGUGGGGGAAGGACUCGCGGCUUAUCAGCUUGUUGGUGGGGUAGUGAAUUACCAAGGCUUUGACGGGUAGCCGGCCUGAGAGGGUGACCGGCCACAUUGGGACUGAGAUACGGCCCAGAGUCCUACGGGAGGCAGCAGUGGGGAAUAUUGCACAAUGGGCGGAAGCCGGAUGCAGCAACGCCGCGUGCGGGAUGACGGCCUUCGGGUUGUAACCCGCUUUCGCCUGUGACGAAGCGUGAGUGACGGUAAUGGGUAAAGAAGCAACGGCUAACUACGUG
rnacentral:rRNA from 1 species